AGUGAACGCUGGCGGUAGGCCUAACACAUGCAAGUCGAACGGCAGCACAGGAGAGCUUGCUCUCUGGGUGGCGAGUGGCGGACGGGUGAGGAAUACAUCGGAAUCUACUCUGUCGUGGGGGAUAACGUAGGGAAACUUACGCUAAUACCGCAUACGACCUACGGGUGAAAGCAGGGGACCUUCGGUCCUUGCGCGAUUGAAUGAGCCGAAGUCGGAUUAGCUAGUUGGCGGGGUAAAGGCCCACCAAGGCGACGAUCCGUAGCUGGUCUGAGAGGAUGAUCAGCCACACUGGAACUGAGACACGGUCCGGAAUCCUACGGGAGGCAGCAGUGGGGAAUAUUGGACAAUGGGCGCAAGCCUGAUCCAGCCAUACCGCGUGGGUGAAGAAGGCCUUCGGGUUGUAAAGCCCUUUUGUUGGGAAAGAAAUCCAGCUGGCUAAUACCCGGUUGGGAUGACGGUACCCAAAGAAUAAGCACCGGCUAACUUCGUGCCAGCCGCCGCAGUAA
rnacentral:rRNA from 1 species